rnacentral:tRNA from 1 species
AUUUAAAUAGCUAAUUUAAGCAUUACAUUGAAGAUGUAAAGAUAAUAUGAAAUAUUUUUGAAUA